CUCGUACAUACCACGUUUUAAAAUCUUUGUAUCGAUACAAACACCAUAAAUGUGUUGGUAAUAAUUACAACGUCAUGACUAUGUAAAAAUCACGUAAUUCCAUUCGGGUAUAAUACAGGUGAUUUAUUUUGUUUAGAUUAAAAUAUUAUCUAUUUUUCGACAAGUUUUCCAAAUAUUUUUCAUACGAGAAUAGCUGAUAGUAUGUAUAGGUAAACAAGGCGAAUUUUGAUUUUUACAUUUUUAUUGAAAGCAUCGACGACUGUUGUGUGAUGACUGAUGAGUAUAUUAUAUAGGUUAUAGGGAAGUGGGUUUAUUAUAAUAUCACUGAAAACUGAUAUUUCCAAACUAAAUGUUACUUUACAGACAUAUACUAUGUGGUGAAUUUCUCAAUGGUGACCAUGCUAUACUGUACUUAAGGCAUUAACAUUAUCGGAAAGGAGGAGGUUCCUUCUUCAGCGAAAAUGUCUUUAUCCAUAUCAUCUUCUACGGAUUACUUGAUAUUAUCGAUCACAAAGCUCACUACCGUAAAUGUGUGUUUUUCCUCCUUAUGCACAGUUUUAUAUGAACGACGUGUUUUCUUUUAGAUCCUGAGUGGAACGAAGAAGCUUAUGGUUAUACAAAGAUGUUUAUUUUAUUUUUAUUUUUUAUCUGUGCGCAACUUUUCUACCAGAAAUCUCCGAUUUUUAAGUGAAACGCCUUUCAUAAAAGGAAAUCCGUGUACAGAGAUACUCUAGGGAGUUCAUUUUUCGAUUUUUUCAGAAGUUUUCUUAAUAAAUGAGAAAACCCGGGAAAAAUAUACAUUUUACGAUAUAAAUGUCAAAAUGUACGUGAAAUCCAC